AGAGUGGCGGACGGGUGAGUAACGCGUGGGAACCUGCCCAGUGGUGGGGGAUAACUGCGGGAAACUGCAGCUAAUACCGCAUGAGCCCGAGAGGGGAAAGAUUUAUGCGCCAUUGGAGGGGCCCGCGUUCGAUUAGGUAGUUGGUGAGGUAACGGCUCACCAAGCCGACGAUCGAUAGCUGGUCUGAGAGGAUGAUCAGCCACACUGGGACUGAGAUACGGCCCAGACUCCUACGGGAGGCAGCAGUGGGGAAUAUUGGACAAUGGGGGCAACCCUGAUCCAGCAAUGCCGCGUGAGUGAUGAAGGCCUUCGGGUUGUAAAGCUCUUUUGCCAGGGACGAUGAUGACGGUACCUGGAGAAUAAGCCCCGGCUAACUUCGUGCCAGCAGCCGCGGUAAUACGAAGGGGGCAAGCGUUGUUCGGAAUUACUGGGCGUAAAGGGCGCGUAGGCGGCUUAUCAAGUCAGGCGUGAAAUUCCCGGGCUCAACCUGGGGGCUGCGCUUGAUACUGAUGAGCUUGAAUGCGGGAGAGGAUAGUGGAAUUCCCAGUGUAAGGUGAAAUUCGUAGAUAUUGGGAAGAACACCGGUGGCGAAGGCGGCUAUCUGGCCCCGUAAUUGACGCUGAGGCGCGAAAGCGUGGGGAGCAACAGGAUUAAAUACCCUGGUAGUCACGCCGUAAC
rnacentral:rRNA from 1 species